rnacentral:rRNA from 1 species
AAUGAACGUUGGCGGUGUGGAUUAGGCAUGCAAGUCGUGCGCGAAAUGUAGCAAUACAUGGAGAGCGGCGAAAGGGAGAGUAAUACAUAGGUACCUACCCCGGGUCUGGGAUAGCGGCGGGAAACUGCCGGUAAUACCAGAUAAUGUAUCCGGACCAAAGGUGUGAUUCCACCUGGGGAGGGGCCUGUGGCCUAUCAGCUUGUUGGUGGGGUAACGGCCUACCAAGGCAAAAACGGGUAUGGGGCGUGAGAGCGUGCCCCCACUCACUGGGACUGAGAUACUGCCCAGACACCUACGGGUGGCUGCAGUCGAGAAUCUUCGGCAAUGGGCGCAAGCCUGACCGAGCGACACCGCGUGCGGGAUGAAGGCCUUCGGGUUGUAAACCGCUGUCGUAGGGGAGGAAGGGUCCGUGAAGAACGGAACUUGACCGAUCCUAGGAGGAAGGGCCGGCUAAUCUCGUGCCAGCAGCCGCCGCCGUAA